rnacentral:rRNA from 1 species
UUUCCCUACGGGAGGCAGCAGUGGGGAAUAUUGGGCAAUGGGCGCAAGCCUGACCCAGCAAUGCCGCGUGAAGGAAGAAGGCUUUCGGGUUGUAAACUUCUUUUGACAGGGAAGAGCAGAAGACGGUACCUGUCGAAUAAGCCACGGCUAACUACGUGCCAGCAGCCGCGGUAAUACGUAGGUGGCAAGCGUUGUCCGGAUUUACUGGGUGUAAAGUGCGUGGAGCCGGGCUGACAAGUCAGAUGUGAAAUCCGGGGGGUCAACCCCCGACCUGCAU